AGAGCAAAGUUGAAGGCGAGCCGCUAUCAUCUGCUGUUCUCUGCCGCAGAGAGGACUGGAGGCUCACAGCUGGAGGAAUUUGCCUUGGGAUGAAUCAUGCCUUGAGUCUCACCUAUAUCUGAUUUAGAUGAGACUUUGGACUUCAGGCUUUUGAGUUGAUGCUGGAUUGAAUGACGGUGCCAUGCUCUUGGACUUACCAACCUCCAGAACUGUGAGCUGAAUAAACGUCUUUUCUUUAAACAUUA